UCUGGUUUUCAAGCCUCUGUUAAAACUUUCAUAAAACCUUAUUGAAAGCCAGUCGGCUUUUAUUUCCACCCGGUUUUAUGUCCGAGGCAUAAAACCCUGUUAGAACCUAUUAAUUAGCUCUUGCUUGUUGGUUGCGGUGAAUGCCCAAAUAAAACUAUUAGGCAAUCAAGAUGCUACAAUAAACCCUUAAUAAAACUUGGUGGUGGCUAGUUGGUUUAAAAAUGUUACUUGGGUGAGCUGGCUUGCCGCUCUACCGGGCAAAAAAUACUACCCCCCUGAAAUAGACGCCGUGCAAGAACUUUGAUAAAUCCAAACUCCAACAAAUAGACUCCUGGGUAAUAGGCGGUUAGCGCAAAAAAAGGAGGCGCUGGUUUUGGCGAAACGUUUGUCACAAUAGAAAAUUGCCAUAGAGCUUUAUGACAAAAUUUAACCUCACUUUAUUUUCGUGUACGUACACGCAAUACAUACGCACGUAGAUUGCUCUAUUUUUGACCUUUGAACUAAUAGAUCCUAGGCAUUUACAAGCUGCAAUGCAAAUUUGAAUUGGAGAUCUUUUCCCCGAGCCAUGGGCAUGGCCACAAACAAAAAAUUGCAAUGCUUCAAAAUUAUAAUAUAACAGAAAUUUUAUGUAGUUCUCUAUAAUUUGAUAAGUUUUUAUGAUAUUUUUUGGUAAAGUUUAGAUUUUAGCUUUAAAAAAAUAACAAAUUAAAAAAAAUAGCUCAGAAAAAUAUGUAAAAUCAUUUGAAAGCCUGUAACUCUUUUAAUAUAUAAACUAAAAAAGAAUGAUUCCAGAAAAUUAAACAAUGAAUUUCGCUUCUUGAAAUUCUCAAGUAAAACGUGAGAUUUACAAACUCGUUUUGUUCAAUAUGUCAAAUUCUCUUUGCUGCAAAAGUCUCUGAUGACAUACACCAAUUGAGUUCCAAAAUUAAGUUUGAAUUUCGGAUUUUCUUUUUCACAGCGAUAAAUCUUAUUUUUGAUUAUUAAAACAAUUUUUAAGUACGCCAAACGUGUUUAUGGCAAAUUAAGCCAAACAAUGUCAAUGAGUUUGAAAACAAAUAGUGUGUCCUACUCACUCCUAAUGUAAACAUCCAUUGACGAGAGCAUUGGCCCACUUACAUUAUUUAGCUUGAAAUCUGGAUAGGGAGCGUUCUUUUAUUAUGUAAAGCAAAAAAAUGGGUUUUCCCCCUUCCCCUCGUAACAAAAUAUUCAUUCCAAUUUCUUUUUUUGUGUGUAUCGAGCGUAACAAGGCCCCUCCCCCCAACUGCGUUACGUAAUAAAAGAACGUUCCCAAAGGUACCUAAAAAUGCAUCACAUUCCCAUGAACAUUACAAUUUACACCCGCUUUAAAUGUUAAACCCGUUUCUAACUCCGACAAUGGUUGAAGGGGUCGACAUUCAGCUAUGUCGGCGUCGACCAGAAUUUUAUGAGAAACGUCAAAGCCAAGUAAAAAUAAGACAGAAAAGUGUGAGACUGAAAGUUUUUGUGCAGUCGGAUGACCACCGGGAAAACUAAACCUGUGGACCGACCGGAAGGAGGAAGAACCGCAAAGCAGCUGAUGAUGAAAACCAUUAGGGAACCUGUCACGCAAUUCCUAAAAGUCAACCAUGUCCAGGAACGAAGAUGUUUCGAAAUACCUGGCCAAAAAGCGGUUCAGGAAGAGUUCAUUUAGGUGAGAAGAUAGUGUGCUCCAAGACUUCAAAUUACGGAACCGCCGGAAGUACGCCAAAAAAAAUCGCGACCGCCCAAUUCGAUUACAGCGGUGGUGCCAGAAGAAGUUCUAGUCGCAGCUUGGGGGAGAUCCUUCAGAAUUGAUCUCGAACGUUUUCUGAAGUUCGAAUUGAUUCUUUGUGAACAUUGUCCGCGCGUAAGUCACUUCCUACAACUUCUUUCCACUGCGCUGAGACACUUUCGAAUCAAGAGCCAGCCAGCGAUGACGAUGCCAAAUUCGACUACAGAUCUGCAUCAGUCGGUCAUUUUUAAUGUUCUUGAGCGUAGGCAACUUACGGAGAGCUGAGCAAUAGCAGCUAGUAGAUUUCAAUCUGAAUGAUCAGUAUUUGUGUGUUUGUGUUUUAUUCCACCGAUGUCUGGCCAUCUAAGACAAAGUCAUCUUAAAACGAAAAUCUUCAACUUUUCGAGAUCCUUUGCGAGACGCGUCACAUGAUUACAACCUUAGUAAAGCUUAACUUCAAAUGAGUAAGUUUCAGUUUGCUUCGACAUAAAAAUCACAGACUGUAAGUAGGAAAAAAUCUCACAUGUAUGGCAAGUUAUGGAUUUGACCCCUUUUUUUCAAUUCAAUUUGCUGUUUUUUGACUUUAGUUGAUGCUUUUCGGUGAUCAUCAACUAAAGCCAAAAAAUAAAAAUUCUCGGUAAUCAAACACGAUUCAAUUUGCAGAUUCUCACUUUAUAAAGAAAUAUUUUGCAAAAUUUUCAAUAGAUACUUGCUUCUCACUUCCACUAGUUAAUAUGCCAACAAAAGGUUUACGAUGGAAAUUCCUGUGGUUACCUUCCAGAAUAAAAUUACUUUACUCCGUUGAAUUUGGAAUUCGAUAAUCCGAGAGAAUGAUGGUCUCGAGUCGAGAGAAUAGUGGUACCAUUCACGGACGCAGAGAACACAGCUCGAGA